AGAAUCCAACCUGGGGCUCAUCAUUGGCUGCGUUGUGGGUGCUGUUGUCCUUGUGAUUGCUGUGAUUGCUGUGACUGCUGGGAUCUUGGUAUAUCACAAGAAACGUCAAGAAGGCUACAAGGCAGCAUCAACAGCCAAAGAUAGAGAGGAAGGCUGGUGCCAGAUGGAUCAACGAUCGUGAGAUCUCCACUUCCAUCCGAUUCCUUUUUUACCUAACCAGAGAGCGGCACUCGGCCCAACGUCAUCCUUAAGGCAAAAUGCGCAGUGGGGGAUGGCCCCCAUUUCCCCCUCAAAUGAUUCUGCAGCCUUUGCUUUUGACAACCUCCCUGCAAGGUAGACCCUCUGCUGUGGAACCUCGACUGCCAAGAGACGUUUCCCCUCCUGCCAGCUCCACCCACUUCCGCCCUCCUCUUGCACACGGACGAACAUUUGGGUGCUUGAGGUCAGGAAUUCACGGCCUUCCUUCAAUAUCCUCCAGGUUCAACAUGUUUCUCUCUUUCUACUCUUCCCUGCAGGAGCCAAAAAAAACCACUGAAUUUUAUUUAAAGAAAAAUAAGGAUGCUUUAACUUUUUAUUUUUAUGGGGCUCUUAAACAACACAGAUAAUACAAGUACAAAACCAUUAUAUAUAGUUUUAUUUUUGAACUAUUAAAAAUAAAACAGCACUAAAAAGAAGAAAAGGGGAAAGAACCUUCCCACCUAAACUUUGUCCGCAGACCCAAGACAUCUAUUGCUGUCCCCCCGCCCCCAGAAGAAGAACCCACAUUGUGAGAUUUCCAGAGAGGGAAGGAAAGAGCCCUCUCUGUCCAGAGAUUCAGUGCGGGGGUCCAGGAAGCCCCCCCACCCUCCAGGUGCUAUCAAAGCACCAUGGCCUGCGUUUCACAUGGCCGUGUGCCUGCAGCCUACCAGGGCACCCAGCAAUGCUGAGUGCCACAAUUCCACCCUUUCUGCCACCCAUCUGCUCUGGACCAUCUGCUUCUCUGAGACAGGAGCAAGAUAGGUUGUGCUGGCUGCAGGAAGCUCUCCUUUCUCCCAGCAAGAGGCGGAGGAGAGCAGGCUGAGAAAGAAGCCCAGGGCUUCCUUGCUCUCCUCCUUCCCCUGCAGGCCCUGCUUCUCCAGGCCGCCCAGCUCUCCCGGCUGCCUCUCCCGGCUGCUGGCAGAAGAACGGUCCGGCCAAGGAGCCAGAACUGAAGCCGUCCAAAGUAGGAACGGAGGAGAACAUCCGGGGUGCAGACUUGCUGCCGGCACUGAAAGCUGGAAACCCAUUUCAGGCCUCUCACGUCCCACUCCUGGUGCUAUGAACGUACUGGGGGGCAGUGAGA